rnacentral:lncRNA from 1 species
GAUGGAGAGCUGGUAGUUAAAGUCCCACAUUUGGCUGGUAAUGGAGAACUAGUUCCAACUUGACUGCCAGAAACAUUGGUUUGAACUAAGCAAGGCAAAUAUGAAACGGAAAGAAUAUUAAGCCACAACUAACCCACCCAACCCAGUCACUAAUCCAAACACUAAGCAUCCAUCGAGCCAUCUAAUUGGCAUAAAGUCUUCACUAUCCUUGACCACCUCAUGACUAUAUUAAUCAUAAUAAAGGGAGUCUGUAUCAAUGUUUUCCCCUACACAUUGCUA